UGUAAACCCUGUAUUUCAGCUUCUCCCUCCCAAAGUCGAACUGGAAGGAGACCCAAAAUCCAAAUCCAAGCCCUUCAUCUCUGUCAUCAUGCCGCACGUUCACCGAAUGUGUCGCCAUAGCAGACCAACCAAACAGGUCGACAUCCGAGUAGAAGUGGGAGAAAUGGGUAAAGAAAAAAAUUGUGUCUCCCACAAUUGAAACCUCAGAAAUCAAAAGCUCAAAAUCCCUGUUUCCUUCCAUCUCCGGUUCAUCGAACGUGAAGCCAUAGCAGACUGCAGUGGCGAGAAAUUUCUGUCUAAAGCAAUACAGUGACUAUAAUGUCUCUAGGAGCACGGCAGGGGAAGGUGCUAGAAAGUAGAAAUGGGGGUGGAGAUCCAAGACCAUUAUGACGCGACCAAGGAAAUAGAGAAGAGUCUACUGGAGCUUCACCAGAUGUUUCUCGACAUGGCAGUAAUGGUUGAGGCACAAGGUGAGCAAUUUGAUGUAAUGUAAUGUAAUUAUAUGUGUCAAAGCCUGUGUCAUCUUCAAACAUAAAAAACCUGCUACUCAAGGUUAUCAAUGUCAAUUGCUUAUUGUAAUUUAAUUAUUUGCAUUUCUCA